ensembl:lncRNA
GCCACAUCUGGUCCAGCUGAUGGAAGGUCUUGAAGUUCUCUGACUGGCCUUGACUGAAGAUGGUCGUCUCACUGGAUUUAAGAGCGUUUGUGAUGCUGAAGCAGUGACCAGUUUUUCUGUUUCUUCUCUGGAGAUGCACAAUGAGGGACGUCUGCAGAGACUGAGAAAGAGUCUCACCACAUCCUGACAUGAGGAAAAAGACUUUAUUGAAGACUACAAUGAGAAAAACUAUCAGACAGCAGACGGCUGCAUUCAAGUCUGUAGCUGCUGAAUUCAUGGAUGAAUCAUCUGGCACUAGAGAAGAAGACCAUCAAACAUCCACGUCAGCUGAUGGAGGUCCAAGAGUCUCACCAAACAACCAACCUACAGAGUGAAGACCUCAAAUCUGAUUGGACGGCCUCCUAUUCAGCCACGUGUGAACAAAUGCCUCUAAGCUGAUUUGUUUUCUAAAAUAAAUCUAGUUUG